rnacentral:rRNA from 1 species
ACGGGUGAGUAAUGUCUGGGGAUCUGCCCGAUAGAGGGGGAUAACCACUGGAAACGGUGGCUAAUACCGCAUAACGUCGCAAGACCAAAGAGGGGGACCUUCGGGCCUCUCACUAUCGGAUGAACCCAGAUGGGAUUAGCUAGUAGGCGGGGUAACGGCCCACCUAGGCGACGAUCCCUAGCUGGUCUGAGAGGAUGGCCAGCCACACUGGAACUGAGACACGGUCCAGACUCCUACGGGAGGCAGCAGUGGGGAAUAUUGCACAAUGGGCGCAAGCCUGAUGCAGCCAUGCCGCGUGUAUGAAGAAGGCCUUCGGGUUGUAAAGUACUUUCAGCGGGGAGGAAGGCGAUGUGGUUAAUAACCGCAUUGAUUGACGUUACCCGCAGAAGAAGCACCGGCUAACUCCGUGCCAGCAGCCGCGGUAAUACGGAGGGUGCAAGCGUUAAUCGGAAUUACUGGGCGUAAAGCGCACGCAGGCGGUCUGUUAAGUCAGAUGUGAAAUCCCCGGGCUUAACCUGGGAACUGCAUUUGAAACUGGCAGGCUUGAGUCUCGUAGAGGGGGGUAGAAUUCCAGGUGU